rnacentral:lncRNA from 1 species
CCAAUUUGCUCAUUUAGAAGAUAUUGCAAUUCAUAGUAUUUUACAACACAAAUAUACGUUAUUUUUCAUAUCUCAUAAUUAAAAGCAAUUUGAUUCAUAUUCAUAGACAUUCAUUAAAGGUCAAAGUAUCUAUAUAUAUAUUCAAAAAGUGACUGAAUACAUAGGUGUUUCAAUAUAUCUUAGAGUACAAAAUUCAUGUAUAGAAACUAUCCAAGAGUCAAUCAGUCAACACAUUACAUAGCCCACAAGAUAGAUCCUAGACAAAAAUAAAAGAAAGGACAAACUACACUGGAUCUAAUAGAUGUCAUGGCUGGAA